AAGGGAGGGAGAGGAAGACUGAAGAAGUAUCAAAGGUAAAGAGGGAAAGAGUUUUUCCACGUUGCUCCAGAGAAGCUGGAUUUAAUUUUGCUCUUAACAUUUGGGAGGAAAAACAAUCAAAUUUUGAAGAACCAAAAAGUGUGCAUGGAAAGAGCUAUAGAACUUUUUUGAUGUAAAAAUCUUUUUGGUCGGUAUACACACGCAAUUUAACAGUCUAACAAAAUCAUAGGACUGAAUGUAAAAUGCUGACGGUCUCUCUACAUGUCAUUUUCUGUGUGCCUGUAAUAUUGAGUGUAGCAUUCAAAGUGUUUUCUCUCUGUUUCUAUCAAAAGAGAAAAUACUUUGCAGUUUCAAUAUCGUAUCUCAGAUUACAUAAAUUUUGAAAAUUUUGGGAACUAAAUUAUGGUGAUAUCCUUCUGAUUGUUUGGGGCUUCCUUUUUUUUUUUUUUUUUUUAACUUUUUUGAACGUUGUUUACUUAUUUUCUGAAAAUGGUAAUAGGAAAUAGCACCAUGGCGAGAAAUUCGUUUCAAUCGUUUAAUUAAAUGAGUGCAAUUCAUCAUGAACUCUACACCUUUCUGAAGUUAUAUGACAAAUAUAUUCUGGGAAGUGAUUAUUCAGAAACUGGGGGGCCAUGAGAUCAAAUCUGAAAGCUAGUUAUUACUCUUAAAAUAGCUCAAAGUCAUAGCCAUCUCGUGACUGUAAUGGACAUUAACAGAUGGUCUCAGCAGAGCCAUGAACCAGCCUCCCAAUCACACCUAGCACUGGUUUAUCUCCUAUGGUUGCUCUUAAAAAAAAAGGCCAAAACAGGUACAUCUGCUUAUGUGCUCCUUUUCAACCCAGCAUGGGCACCGUCUCCUCAGCAACAAGGGGUAGUUCAGAUACUGGUCAAGAUACAAAAGCUGCAAGGCACAGCACAUCUAUCUUAUCCCUCUAUUCUCCAAAAGUGUUUGUUUCCACUCCUGAAACCUCCUUUCUGGUUAUCUUCAGAGUUCAUUACUCUCUGAAGUCCCUCAAGAUGUUCCUGCUGCUGAGAAGCAGACAAGCUAAAACAUCCUUGUAUCUCUUUCAUCUGAUGGAAGAAAGAGGGAGAAGAUCCCAUUUCCAGCAGUGCCUUUUUACUAGUCCUUACUGACCCACUUUGUGUCUGAGUGUCCAGGUUUUUUCAUGACGCUAUCCCCUCCUCUUCCUUCAUCAGCCUAAUGAAGGCUUCCAAAGACUCUGAGGAGGGAACGCUCUCCUCUCCCUGCCUUGGAGGUGAAGAACAAAAAUUGCUUCUGCCUCAGCCUCCACCCUCUCUGCUCAUCCCAUAAGCAAGAAGCAGACCGUGAGGCAGACCAUGCUUAGGAUACAGCAACUGCAGGGUCCAAACAGAUCCCAACAUUUAUAGACUAAGACUAUAAUGCUUCCUUGAGAUUUGACUGAUACAUUCCACAGAGCAGUCAAGGUAUUAGAGCAGGCAUAAGUCAUGGUUAUGGCUGUAGAAAGUCAACUAUUGUGCUAAUAAAUGAAAUAUGGAGGUAGAAUCUAGUAGUGCUGUUGAAAUGCUUUUUGUGCUCCAUCCAUGGAUGUCAGAUUAAAUUAAAUGCCUUUCACACUAACUCCAUCCCUUUCUCUUCAUUUUCAUGUUUUAUUCUUUAGUCAUGCAUAUCAGAUCCAUGUCAAGUGGAUAUUUACAGUCAAUAAAUUACAAUUUAAUUUUUUUUUCUUCCCAAAAUGAUGACAUACUAGUUGGUCUAUCUUAAGUAUACAGCUGCACAACACAGCUUCACAAUUUUAUGCAUAGCUGAACUUUGCUGCUCAGCACUGGCUAUCAAACUCUUUGUGUUAUUCUGUUACCUCCAACACAAAUAUAAAUUACAUAUCUAAUAAAAUAGAAGCUGUUUAUUUACACCUGAACUAUAAUGAAAACACAUAGAUGUUAGUUUGAAAAAUGGACGAAUAUGACAUGUACUUACAUUUUUCUACAUAUGAAUAUGGUCUUUCUUAGUAAACGUUAUGAAAAUCUGAUUAUAAAAAUACAACUACAUUAAUAAUAGAUUCAUAUAACCUUUAUGUAGAAGAUUUUAAUGCUUAUGGGAAUAUUUAUACAUGUAUCAAAGAUCAUUGGGUUUAAGUGACUUCACUCUAAUUAUACAUUCACCUUCAAUACAACGUUGUUUCUCUAGUUUUGUACUGCUGCGUAUUUAUGCAAUAUAUAUUUUCAUAUCAUUUAGGACAGGUUUUUCUCUUCCACUUUUCAACUACUUCUCUUAUUGCUGGACCACUCAGGUUUUUCAUAUUUUCUCUACACCAGGCACCAACUGACCCCACGGAGGCCAGCCAUAUGCCAUCCACAUGAAAGGAAAACGGAAAUCACACUUAGUGACUCCUCCACGGGUUCUUCUUUCAAGCAGGAUUUGAAAAGCUCUGCUUUUGGCAGCAAGAGCACCAACAGAACCUGAACAGUUGCCAAGGACAGUCUGCAGCAGCUGAUGUCCCUAGUAUGGCCUGUGCACAUCCCUCUUCUCUUCCUGUCUUCAUCUCCAAUAUCAAAACCCGUAUGAAGCCGCUCUGUGAAUCAUUACUCUUGCAUCACACUAGGGAUGCACAUGUGCUCACCAGUCCUUGAGGCUGCUGGAGAUAAUAAAUUCCUUUCCUUACAUGCUUUGUGACUUUACUGGCUGAGAAACUCAAGAGGAGGAGCUGGCUCUUAGGCUACAGCAUCUGCCUGUGGAAAUUCAGCAUACACUGCAGAACUGCAUAGACCAUAGGAUGUUCAAGUAAUUAUCUUCUCAAGGAUCUCAUGUAGAUUAGCAUAGCAUAAGCAGUUAUGUCUAGUUACAGCUACCUUAUGGUUCCAGGAUGAUGAAAUGACAGAGGAAAUUCAGUGUAGACAACAUAAGAGACGUGAAUGAGAAUAAAUAUUCACAACUUCACAUACUAAAAGGAUGAACUUUGAAACAACUACUUCCAAGUCACAACAUUUGGUUAUUGCUAUCAUACAAGACAGCUUUAUGAAAAGUAAGAUUUCCUCACCUUUAGAGGAUCACUUCCACAGGGAGGAAGAUUUAAUUGUCACUACAUGUAGUCCUAAGUACCAUCUCAUAGAAGUUAUUAUUAUAAUAGGUUCAGGCAUUUACAGUAUGACAAUCAUAUUUUGGUAGUUUUGUAUUUAUUUAAAUUGAUACCGUGAUAUAAAAUUAAUACAAAGUGUUGGACUAUUUCCUGCACUUCACCAAUCCCUCGUCAAGUUGGUUGUAAAAACUACACAAAAGCCCUGAGGGUACCAUAAUGAUGUUUCAUAAUAAGGUAAUUAUAUGUGCAUAACCUUAAACAGGAGAAAUCUUUGGGGAUAUCUUCUUUUUAUGGAUGAUUGUAUUAUCACAAUUUAAAUAAUUAAAUGUCUGCAAUUGCUCCUAUUUUUAACUGCUAACUGGUUGCCAUGAUUUGUUAGUACAUAUUUUUGCAUGUUUAUACAUAUGCGUUAUACAUACUUUGGAUAAAUCCUAUUAGAUCAAUACAAUCCAAAUAAACUUUCAGUUCCUGCAGCCAUAUAACGGGUCAGGAUGUCCUCAUGCGUUCCUGCUGACCUGAGUUACCCAAGUGUGACCACUGCCUGAGGGUGAUCUGUGGCCAGCUGCAACUGCCAGAGCCUUUUCUGCUGUACCGGUAUUCCGGUAGUAUUUCAAAUAUGUUCUUUGCAGAAGGAAAAAGACCUAGCUAACAUGUUUAAUUUCCACUCUUCCCUGUGAGGAAGUGAAGAACCACGGACCUAUCCCACUGCUGUAAUUGGAGUCUGAAACUCAUCUGAGUCUUAUUUCAGUCUAAUUCCAUUUACUUUGGCGGUCUUUUAUACCAGAAUGAGUGUGAAGUGAACCAUGCCCUCUGUUUUUUAUCUCCAUGCCUAUAUCCAAAGUGCUACGGAUCAGCCAUCAGAAAGAGAGCCAGCAUCUUAAAACUACUCCUAAGCUGGAAACGAAACAUCUCAAGGCUGACAUGAAUGAAAACAGGAAUGAUAAGAAUCACAAGAGCUCUGGCAAAGAUGAAGAGGAUCCCUGAACAGUUCCUGUUGUCUGGCCUCUGUGCCUUUCAAGGCCUGUAAUGCAGAAUUGUGAUACUACUAAUUGUUAAAGAAAUGAGAGGUAAACAUUGGCAGAAGAGGAAUUGUAAUGUUCCUUCAACUGCAGUUUUAUUCAAUGUAAUUGAAUUACUGUACAAAACCAAAAUGAUAGUGUUAUUAGCCAGGUAAAUGAUUAAAGGCUGUAUUUAUGUAAUAAUGUUUAUAAGGCUUUAUCAUGACAUAAUUCAUUCAGCACAGCUAACCAUAAACACUAUUAGGAAACACUUUACUUUCUGAUUCACAUGCCCUGCAUCACCAUGAUAAAUGGAGACUCUGCCCAUCCAUAUAUAAUGAGUCCCUGCAGCAAAGGCCUUCAAGCAAUGAAAAUUUGAAACAUGGGGUGCCACUGUAUUAAAAAAUAUGAAAAACAAAAGGAGAAAAAGUAACCUAACCAGCUCUAGAAGAAUAUGUGGUUGUACUUUAUGGAUUUAUACUGGAGUAUUGCUUGGUUCAUGACCACACAUGGAUAUACUUCUUAAAGUGUACAAAGAUUUGUCCUGCAUUACCAGAUUAAUGGGCAAAUAAAGGCUGAACAUUUAUUUCCAGAAAAGUCAAUCAAAGGAGAGAAGAUGACAAACCUCGGUCUCUCCUGGAAGAUCCUGAUGCAUUAAGAAAUGAGAUGUGAGUUACGUGGAAAGCCCUCUGGCAAGGGAGAAGAGUAGAGACAUCCAUUCACUGGAUUGCUUAACCACUUUAGAAACUGAAAACUAAUUUCUAAGCUCGCUUCUAUCAUUGUAAACUCAAAGAAACUCCCCUGAUUUCAGUGGAGUUGUUACACACUUUUUAUCACUUUUACUGAUGUAUAACUUUGUCCUUGAACUCUCCAUUUGUCUAAAAGAUCAAUCUUUUCACUGAACUCUGAAUACUACUGUCCAAUUUUCAGUGCUGUCAGAGUUUUGAACAAGAUCAGUAUUUUAUCUCUUGAUGUUCCUUUUCAUAUUCCAGGCUAUCAGUUUCAGUAAUGUUCUUUGUGGAGGCCUUCAUAAACUGUCCUUACUCUAAAUACACUGAGCAGGUGUUACUUUUAUAUACUUGCAGAUGGUGAUGCAGCCAGAAAGGACAUUAAAGCAAAGCUGAAUAGUACUUCUGAUAACAUAAUGCUGAUUCCCCAGUCAGUGUACAGCUAUCAUCAGGAACUACAAAAUGGACAGAAUCCAAAUGGUGAACUGGACAUAGAUGGAGCAGUAGAGGUGAAUAGUAGAGGAAGCCUCACAUUUUACACACAAAUGUAAGACUUACCUUAAACAUGGGAAGGAAUACUUAUCAGAUACUUACACUUUCAAGAAAAAAGAUAGUCACAUACAAAUGGGUUUUUAAUUUUUGCUGAAUAGAACAUUGGGCUUCUUCUGUGUUAUUUCACUUUUAUGUUUUGCAUACAUUGUGUUCUAAUUGUUGUAUAAUCUUUGACAUGUUUUGAGAGAGACAGGAUAAGGUUUGACUUAAGAGGAAAAUGACUUCUUUGCUGCUUCAAUUCAUUGGCUGUCUGGCCAGCUCUGUUGGGCUUUGUUGACAUAUGGGGUGUGGGUGAAGCUUUGGCUUCCUGUUUGC